rnacentral:rRNA from 1 species
GUCGCUACUACCGAUUGAAUGGCUCGGUGAGGCCUUCGGACUGGCUCCAGGGGGUUGGCAACGACCCCCCAGAGCCGGAAAGUUGGUCAAACCCGGUCAUUUAGAGGAAGUAAAAGUCGUAACAAGGUUUCC